CUGAACUUUGAGCUCACGGCUGAGGAGAAGGACGAACUCAGUAAACUGAUUUGGGAUGAUUUCUUAACCAUGACUCGAACAUCAGAGACGGGUUAGUUCCCGAAUGAAGUUCGAGCAUCCGUCACAUAACAGCAGUGACCCGCAUACGAAGGCGGAUCAAGGAGGAAAGAGUUUCUCAGGAUCUGAAGAUGUUGAGACAUUGGGUUCCCGAUGAUUUAAAACUUUAUUAUUGGCAUUUCUUUUGUUAAAACAUUAUAAUCUU